UACGGGGGGGGCAAGCGUUGUUCGGAAUUACUGGGCGUAAAGGGCUCGUAGGCGGCCAACUAAGUCGGACGUGAAAUCCCUCGGCUUAACCGGGGAACUGCGUCCGAUACUGGAUGGCUUGAGUUCGGGAGAGGGAUGCGGAAUUCCAGGUGUAGCGGUGAAAUGCGUAGAUAUCUGGAGGAACACCGGUGGCGAAGGCGGCAUCCUGGACCGAUACUGACGCUGAUGAGCGAAAGCCAGGGGAGCAAAGCGGGG
rnacentral:rRNA from 1 species